AUUGAACGCUGGCGGCAGGCUUAACACAUGCAAGUCGAACGAGUGGCGGACGGGUGAGUAAUGCUUGGGAAUCUGGCUGAUGGAGGGGGAUAACGACGGGAAACGGUAGCUAAUACCGCAUACCAUAGGAUGAGCCCAAGUGGGAUUAGGUAGUUGGUGGGGUAAAGGCCCACCAAGGCGACGAUCCCUAGCUGGUCUGAGAGGAUGACCAGCCACACCGGAACUGAGACACGGCCCAGACUCCUACGGGAGGCAGCAGUAGGGAAUAUUCCACAAUGGACGAAAGUCUGACCGAGCAACGCCGCGUGAAUGAAGAAGGUUUUCGGAUUGUAAAGCACUGUUGUUAGGGAAGCGGUAUCUAAACAGGAAGCCACGGCUAACUACGUGCCAGCAGCCGCGGUAAUAC
rnacentral:rRNA from 1 species